rnacentral:rRNA from 1 species
AGUGAACGCUGGCGGUAGGCCUAACACAUGCAAGUCGAACGGCAGCACAGUAAGAGCUUGCUCUUACGGGUGGCGAGUGGCGGACGGGUGAGGAAUACAUCGGAAUCUACUUUUUCGUGGGGGAUAACGUAGGGAAACUUACGCUAAUACCGCAUACGACCUACGGGUGAAAGCAGGGGAUCUUCGGACCUUGCGCGAUUGAAUGAGCCGAUGUCGGAUUAGCUAGUUGGCGGGGUAAAGGCCCACCAAGGCGACGAUCCGUAGCUGGUCUGAGAGGAUGAUCAGCCACAAUGGAACUGAGACACGGUCCAGACUCCUACGGGAGGCAGCAGUGGGGAAUAUUUGACAAUGGGCGCAGGCCUGAUCCAGCCAUACCGCGUGGGUGAAGAAGGCCUUCGGGUUGUAAAGCCCUUUUGUUGGGAAAGAAAAGCAGCAGGUUAAUACCCCGCUGUUCUGACGGUACCCAAAGAAUAAGCACCGGCUAACUUCGUG